AAAAAAAGAACCUGUCAACUUCUUUCUUUCUUCAUACAUUUCUUCUUCUUCUUUUUCUUCGCAUCUCAAAAGCAAAGACUUUAAAAAAAAAUGAAGAAAGCACAAAAUAGCUAUUUGGAGAUGAAAACUCACCGCCAAUUCCUCGCAGAGAAGCCAUGGUUUCUCGCCAUUCUCGUUGCUGCCUCUUUCAUCGCUGCUCUACUCGUCGCCAGCAGUAUUACAGGAUCAUCAUCUAGCUCCUUCUUAUGCUCCUUAAGUGGAGCGUAUAAAACAUCAGCGGUGGAUGAGUACGCAACCACCCCGACACAGCUUGACGCCAUUCUUCACUAUGCCACGUCGCGUGUGGUUCCACAACAAUCACGUGCUGAAAUCACUCUUUCUUUCGACGUUCUGAAAGCCCUUGCUCCAUGCAAUUUUCUUGUCUUCGGACUGGGCCAUGAUUCCUUAAUGUGGACCUCGCUUAAUCCACGUGGCACCACCAUAUUCUUGGAAGAAGAUCCAAAGUGGGUCCAUACGGUUCUCCAACGUGCUCCAAAUCUGCGAGCCUAUGUAAUCAAGUACCCAACACAACUACGAGAGGCAGACAAGCUUCUUUCCUCAUAUAAGCGAGAGAAGGAAUGCAUGCCACCAGAUGUUCGACUGAAGGGUAACACACGGUGUAAGUUAGCACUGAGCAUGUUGCCAGAUGAGAUAUUAGAUAAAGAAUGGGAUGUGAUCAUGAUAGACGCACCACGAGGGUAUUUUGCAGAGGCACCAGGGAGGAUGGGAGCAAUAUUCUCAGCGGCGGUGAUGGCUCGUGCAAGGACUCGGCCAGGUGUGACUCAUGUAUACUUGCAUGAUGUGGAUA
rnacentral:misc_RNA from 1 species